UACGUAGGGUGCAAGCGUUAAUCGGAAUUACUGGGCGUAAAGCGCACGUAGGCGGAUUGUUAAGUCAGAGGUGAAAUCCCGGAGCUCAACUUCGGAACUGCCUUUGAUACUGGCAAUCUAGAGUCCGGAAGAGGUUAGUGGAAUUCCCAGUGUAGAGGUGAAAUUCGUAGAUAUUGGGAAGAACACCAGUGGCGAAGGCGGCUAACUGGUCCGGUACUGACGCUGAGGUGCGAAAGCGUGGGGGAGCAAAACAGG
rnacentral:rRNA from 1 species